GAAACGAAGGGAAAGAAUCAACGAGAGACUAAGGAUUCUGCAGACUCUUGUACCUAAUGGAACAAAGGUCGAUAUAAGCACCAUGUUGGAAGAAGCUGUCCAUUAUGUGAAAUUUUUGCAACUCCAAAUCAAGCUAUUGAGCUCUGAUGAUCUAUGGAUGUACGCACCGAUUGCAUACAAUGGAAUGGACAUUGGCCUCGACUUGAAGCUUAACGCACUCAGAUAAUUUCAAGGACAUGCUUACCAAAUUUUCAUUUGAAAUUAUCAUAUUAUAUAUAUAUAUAUAUAUAACCGAAAGUGUAAUAUUAUUUAUUUUUCUUUUUUUCCCCUCCGAUAUCCGGACGAGUUGGGUUAUAG